CUCUCUAUCUCUACUCCACUCCUCUCUCUCUCUUGUUUCUCAAAAGCUUCAUUCACAAAUUCGGUUAUGGUUGGGGAUUCGUAAUUCGCAUUUCGUAUAAUGUUGUACAAAUCAACUCAUUCUCAAUUUUCACUCUCCAAUUCCCAAAAUAUGAAUUGAUUCUAUUUUUUUUUUCUUUUUCUUCUUUUAAGUGGUGGCAGUUGUGAUAUGGAAACGUAUGAUGUUUCUCAAGCUAGGAACCAGAAUGCUUACUGGGUUGAAGGGGCUGAUAUAAAUUCACAGUUCACAAGCCCAAACUUUGAACAAUCUGGAGUAAUGUAUUACCCUGCUGCCACCAAUUAUGGGUACUAUUGUACAGGCAAACCAAAAAUGCAGCUAAACAAAUAACAAUGGCUGGCAGUGGCAAUUUUUUCAUCUAUAGCUCAAGUAACACUGAUGUCCGUUUUGGGUCUUCCUUAUCAGAAAGAGACCAUACUACUAAGCUUUGGGCAGACCUGUUUUCUUCUCUUACCGGCAAUUUUGUGGAAUGUCUUGUUCACAGUGACCUUUGUCUAUGCAUUUGUCUCCAUAGUUCGAUUGACUCCGUCUUCUGCCUUGCGUGUGCCCAUUCUCGGUAUGCUAUGUCUUAAUUUUGUCUAUGGCUUAUUCAAGUGGCUGAUUAAAGCAUCAUGGUUCAAUGUCCUAUACUACUCCUUAAGAAUCAACGGCACCUUGUUUAUGUCUCUCUGGGUUCUUUGUUUUCUUAUCUUGGUCAUGCUUGUGCUUUUUCUUGGUGGAGAUUUCAACGAGAAAGUAGAGGAGGAGUAAUGUGAUUUGCAAUGAGGUUGCCUCCACACCGAAUUUGAGGAAAAAAAAUCUUUUAAGAGGGAGGGAAUAUGAUGUGAACCUCAAGACUUAUGAAGGAAUGAAGAUUUGAAUCAAUACUAGGAAAUAUAGAAUUUUAAGAUUUCUGUUUGUUUGAUAUUUGUUAGUAAAUAGGUGAAACACUUGUAGUUGGAUAGGUUUAUUUUGGAGCAUGUAUCUAAUCCCCUUUGACUUUUAGUUCUUCUUGAGCUUCCAUAGUGGGUUUGAGACUUAUUAGCCUUGACUUUGUUGAAGCUUUUUUUUUUAAUCUGGAGUGGAUAGCUUUGAAUGAAAUUAGAAAUUUAAUCUUUGAUUGAAGUGAGAGAUAGCAUUGCUACUCAGGAUUCUUCCAUGAACCACUUCUAGAUCCUUAUCCAGUGUCCUUACUCUUGUGGCGAUUCUUCACAAGAUCUUAUCAUUCUUUCAAGAAUGAGACAAUCAUUCUUCA